GCGGCAGUAGCUCAGUUGGUAGAGCAUUGGCUUCCCAAGCCAAGGGUCGCGGGUUCGAGUCCCGUUUGCCGCUC
rnacentral:tRNA from 1 species